rnacentral:rRNA from 1 species
UUGGUUAUGCUAAUAAGAGCGUAUGGUGGAUGCCUUGGCACUAAGAGCCGAUGAAAGACGUGAUAAGCUGCGAAAAGCUUCGGGGAGGAGCAAAUAUCCUGAGAUCCGGAGAUUUCUGAAUGGGGAAACCUACUUGAGAAAACCUCAAGUAUCCACAGCCCAAUCCAUAAGCUGUGGAAGGGAACCCGGUGAACUGAAACAUCUAAGUAGCCGGAGGAAGAGAAAACAACAUGUGAUUCCGUAAGUAGCGGCGAGCGAACGCGGAAGAGCCCAAACCGGAGUGCGUGCACUCCGGGGUUCGGACUGCAGAAUCGAUGAGUGAGCCUAGUAGAAUGGUUUUGGGAAAGCCAGCCAGAGAGGGUGAAAGCCCCGUACACGAAAGGCGAGCGAGCGAAGCAGGAUCCAGAGUACCACGAGACACGUGAAACCUUGUGGGAAUGCGCGGGGACCACCCCGUAAGGCUAAAUACUCCUUAGUGACCGAUAGCGCAUAGUACUGUGAAGGAAAGGUGAAAAGGACCCCGGGAGGGGAGUGAAAGAGAACCUGAAACCAUAUGUUUACAAGCUGUGGAACAUCUUUAUAUGAUGAACCGCGUACUUUUUGUAGAACGGUCCGGCGAGUUACGCUGGCUGGCGAGGUUAAGGGCUGAAGGUCUGGAGCCGAAGGGAAACCAAGUCUGAAGAGGGCGAAAUAGUCAGUCGGAGUAGACCCGAAACCGGGUGAUCUAUCCAUGUCCAGGUUGAAGUUGCCGUAAAAGGCAAUGGAGGACCGAACCCACAUCCGUUGAAAAGGGUGGGGAUGAGGUGUGGAUAGGGGAGAAAUUCCAAUCGAACCCGGAGAUAGCUGGUUCUCCUCGAAAUAGCUUUAGGGCUAGCCUCAUGCAAGUCUUACGGAGGUAGAGCACUGAAUUCCUAAGGGGGCGUCAAAGCUUACCAAGGGAUAUCAAACUCCGAAUGCCGUGUAGAUGGUGCAUGGGAGUCAGACUAUCCGAGAUAAGUUGGGUAGUCAAAAGGGAAAGAGCCCAGACCUACAGCUAAGGUCCCAAAAUGUGUGUUAAGUGGAAAAGGAUGUGGGAUUUCGAAGACAACUAGGAUGUUGGCUUAGAAGCAGCCAUCCAUUAAAAGAGUGCGUAAUAGCUCACUAGUCGAGAGGUCCUGCGCCGAAAAUGUCCGGGGCUGAAACACACUACCGAAGCUUAGGAAUUGA